ACGACUCUCGGCAACGGAUAUCUCGGCUCUUGCAUCGAUGAAGAACGUAGCGAAAUGCGAUACUUGGUGUGAAUUGCAGAAUCCCGCGAACCAUCGAGUCUUUGAACGCAAGUUGCGCCCGAGGCCUCCUGGCCGAGGGCACGUCUGCCUGGGUGUCACGCAUCGUCGCCCCCAAACCCCCUCGCCUGGCGAGGGCGGGCGCGGAUACUGGCCUCCCGCGCGCUCCCGCUCGCGGCUGGCCCGAAAUCGAGCCGUGGGCGACGGUCGCCACGACGAGCGGUGGUUGAGAGGCCCUCGAGAGCGGUCGUGCGCGCCCCGUCGGCCCCCGGGAUCUCCUGGACCCUCGAGCAUCCGGUUCGGAGGAUGCUCUCGCUGCGACCCCAGGUCAGGCGGGACUACCCGCUGAGUUUAAGCAUAUCAAUAAGCGGAGGAAAAGAAACUUACGAGGAUUCCCCUAGUAACGGCGAGCGAACCGGGAAACGCCC
rnacentral:rRNA from 1 species